rfam:Toxocara canis scaffold1095, whole genome shotgun sequence.
GUCUCAUUGGCUCAGGGGCAGAGCGUCUGUCUAGUAAACAGGAGGUCGCUGGUUCGAUUCCAGCAUGAGGCA